UCUUUAAUGUACCUAGAAUAAUCCUACCUUCACAGUCAUAUUGUUUACUUUUAUACUAAAUAUACAAUACCUUCAAACUUUUCAGCUACUUAUAGAGUAUCCUGAAAAUGAUUUCGUUAUCGCCACGUAGUAAUUACUUACACUAAGCAUAAAAAAAUAAAAAAUAAACAUUAGAGUGCCAAUUUCAAAAGAAAAAAACAGCUAAGUCUCCUUUAAAUCAUCACUCUUCUGCUGAUACACACUGACCUAACCUAAAAUUUAAGAGGCAAUGGGAAGGAAGCCACCCACUCCAUGCCAAGCCAGUGACCACAGACAGAGUCAAUAACAAGGCUUGGUAUUUUCAAGCACUGGCUUUUUCCGGUACCACUAGAAACAGCUCUAAUUUGAGCUCCAAAGCACACUGGGUUAGGAAGAGCAAGAAAUAAAAGACAACACCGCAAUGCCAAAUUCCAUUCUAUAUACAUGGAAGCAUUCGCCUGACUCAACAAACUACAUCCUCCCUGGAAGUUGAAGUCCCUAUAACAGACUUUUCAAUCCUGACAUUUAUGAAAAUCACCUCUUUUGUCUUUUCACUUUUACCACCCAAUUGAGCAUCCCUGAAGACUGAUUUAGUUUUGCUUAUUUUAUAAUUUUAUAUAAUUGGAAUCAUAGAACAUGCAUUCUUUAUGACUGGCCUCUGUUGCUCAAUGUUGUAUUCGUGAGAUGUAAACAUAUUGUGAGAUGCAGCUGCCUGCCUCUUUUCACCGUUCUAUAAUAUUCCAUUGUGUAAAUUAACUACUUUCACCCAUUCUAUUGUUAGAAGACACUUGUGUCUUUCUGGUUUGAGGCAAUUAUGAAUAUUGUUAACUUAAUGAACAUCACAACUCUUUUGGUUCAUAAAUAAACAUAAGUCUAGGAGAA